rnacentral:rRNA from 1 species
UAAACGCUGGCGGCGCACAUAAGACAUGCAAGUCGAACGGACUUAACUCAUUCUUUACGAUUGAGAGCGGUUAGUGGCGGACUGGUGAGUAACACGUAAGCAAUCUGCCUAUCAGAGGGGAAUAACAGUGAGAAAUCAUUGCUAAUACCGCAUAUGCUAACAGUAUCGCAUGAUACAGUUAGGAAAGGAGCAAUCCGCUGAUAGAUGAGCUUGCGCCUGAUUAGAUAGUUGGUGGGGUAACGGCCUACCAAGUCGACGAUCAGUAGCCGAACUGAGAGGUUGAUCGGCCACAUUGGGACUGAGACACGGCCCAGACUCCUACGGGAGGCAGCAGUGGGGAAUAUUGCGCAAUGGGGGCAACCCUGACGCAGCAACGCCGCGUGAAGGAUGAAGGUCUUCGGAUUGUAAACUUCUGUUCUGAGGGACGAACAAGGACGGUACCUCAGGAGGAAGCCACGGCUAACUACGUG